UGUUGUACGAUGCUAAGUAACUGGAACACCGCAAAGUCCACGCCUAAUUUCACUGCGGCAGAUUUUUUGAAAAUUUUUUUUUUCACUCGCCAUUUUUUUCUUUUUUUUUUUCAUUCACUUUUUUUACUUUCGUCAAGACGUCAGCCUCGUACGUUAAUUAUCGGGAACGAUUCUUUUUUUUUUUCCCCGAAAAUUAAAUUCUUAAUCACCGUUGCAAUCUUUUUGACCGAGUCGUGAGAUUACGCUUUUUUUUUUGUUUGCAACUUUUCGUUAAUCACGAGGACUGCUUUUUUUUUUUGGUUAAUACUCUUCCGUUAAAAUUUCAAAAAAUUUGAAUUUUUUCUUUUUACGUUUCACCCACUUUCUGUAACUUUGACGUACAGUUGAAAAAAAAGAAAAAAAAACUUCGACACGGUUACACUUUAUUGUUCUUAGAGCAAUUGCUAUACUGUUACUGUACUUCCGCAUCUCCUCGACACUAUUUUUCGACACUUUUAUUCGGUUUUUUGGCUGAACCCCCUUUUCUUUGUUUCUGCCAACGCAACUCGCUUUGCUUGCUCGCACGUUUACGCCUUUUUUUUGAAAUAUUUAAACGUCUCUUAGAUUUUCUCGAUUUAAACGCAUACCUUCUCUGCGUAUGCUUUAUAUCCAUCGCGAUAGACGAUUUAAGUAUUUCCCUAAAAAGGCCUGCAUGGCAAUUGUGCUAUAACGCUUAAUUAGUACGAAUGUCACGUAUUAUUUCGUAAUGCUUGAGAUUGCGCGUCGGACGCGACGUGAGAGAAGUGCAAAAAUAAAGGAAAAAAAAAAAAAAAAAAAAACGGCAGGAGAGGAGGAAAAAAGAAAUAAGGAAGAGAUACCUUUGAAAGUAAAAAAAAAAAAAGAAAAAAAUUUAUUUAAAAAAAAUCGCCAACGCAUAUCGCGCUGUAUUUACACAAAUUAGAAAUAUAGGUAGUCGGUAUGCAUUAGAUUAGUCUGGCACUUGAGGAAUGACUAAUUAAUACUUAAUUACAGUUGUCAACUAUCCGAUCGAGACGUAUCGUAAUAUGGUUUCCGUACUGAAUCGGCAUUAUAACGAUAAUGACACGAAGAACCGAUGGACAGACAAAAUUCAUUAGGUUAAUUAGACCUUAGGUUAAAAUAUAUAACGAAGCAGAGUUUUCAUACUGCAAAAAAAAAA